rnacentral:rRNA from 1 species
GAUGAACGCUGGCGGCGUGCCUAAUACAUGCAAGUCGAGCGAACAGAUGAGGAGCUUGCUACACUGACGUUAGCGGCGGACGGGUGAGUAACACGUGGAUAACCUACCUAUAAGACUGGGAUAACUUCGGGAAACCGGAGCUAAUACCGGAUAAUAUAUUGAACCGCAUGGUUCAAUAGUGAAAGACGGUUUUGCUGUCACUUAUAGAUGGAUCCGCGCCGCAUUAGCUAGUUGGUAAGGUAACGGCUUACCAAGGCAACGAUGCGUAGCCGACCUGAGAGGGUAAUAGGACACGCUGGAACUGAGACACGGUCCAGACUCCUACGGGAGGCAGCAGUAGAGAAUCUUACGCAAUGGGCGAAAGCCUGACGGAGCAACGCCGCGUGAGUGAUGAAGGUCUUCGGAUCGUAAAACUCUGUUAUUAGGGAAGAACAAAUGUGUAAGUAACUAUGCACGUCUUGACGGUACCUAAUCAGAAAGCCACGGCUAACUACGUG